CGGGGCGUAGCGCACUUGCAUGGGGUGCAAUGGGUCGAAGGUUCUAAUCCUUCCGUUCCGA
rnacentral:tRNA from 1 species